rfam:Pseudomassariella vexata strain CBS 129021 BCR38scaffold_1, whole genome shotgun sequence.
GGCCGGUUGGCGCAACGGUAGCGCGUUCGACUCCAGAUCGAAAGGUUAUCCGUUCAAAUCGGGUAUCGGUCA